ACCAGUUUGUUUACAAUUAAGGGGAUGUUUUUAAACACAAUUUAAAGGGUCAUUUUGUCAUCAAUUGGGCAAUCAUUAUUGAUAAUAGACAAAUGAAAACAACGGCAAAGAUACUAAGGAAUAUUAGGUCUCCGCGCGAACGACCUCCGACUACGACUCCGACUAUGAUGGUGUUUCAGUGUUCUGUACAGUCGAUCAAAAAUAUCGAACUCUUAAGAUAAAUUCAAAAAAUGGAAUGUCCGUGAAAACUGACAUGAUAAUGACUCCUCCUUUAACACUGGCUAUCGUGUUGCAAACUCGAGAUACACUAUUUUUAUAGCAACCCAACAACAUCAAAACAGUAUAAGACACUUUAAGUGUAUAAGGGAGCAACCGUUUAGCCUAAAAAUGGGGUUAUGUUUUUUUGUCGGAGUCAGAAAAAUGUUUUUUUCGCAAAACGCGAACAUUUUUUUGGUUAUUCAACGCUUUCAAUCAAAGGAGUAGGUCCGCUAAGGGCGGAUUUUGUCCUCAAAUUUCAGGUUCAUCUAACGAAAGAUUUUAGACACUUUUUAAACGCUUAAACAUGUUAAAUGUCUAUUUCAAUUGAUUCAAUUAGUUUAUGUGACAGAUUUAAACUAAGUUAGUCAUUAAAAACUCUCCGAUUUAAGCUUAAAUAUAUCAAUCUAUCAAAUAUGCCAAAAAACGUCACUUUUCAGAUGGUUUUUGUCAAAAAAUGAAAUUGGCCGCAUCCGUGAUCAUGCUCAACCUUUAUAUAUGUUAUGAAUUAUCAUCAAAUACAACUUGCAUUUCAAUAUUAUGAAUGAACACGAA
rnacentral:lncRNA from 1 species